AACACUGUUAACCUGCGGUACCUGCGGAAGGAUCAUUAUAGUAUAUGGAAUCUCCAUUCUAUAAACCCACUCUGCGUAUCUUGUAACUGUUGCUUCCAUGGGACUUGGUUCCGCCACACCGGCUUCACGGCCGGUGAGCGCCCAUGGAAGGAGAAACAAAACUCUUCUUUGAAAUGUAGUCAGUCUGAACAAGUUUUUAUAAACGUUAAAACUUUCAGCAACGGAUCUCAGAUCGGAAGA
rnacentral:misc_RNA from 1 species